rnacentral:rRNA from 1 species
UACGUAGGGUGCGAGCGUUGUCCGGAAUCACUGGGCGUAAAGCGCACGUAGGCGGCUUUUUAAGUCAGAGGUGAAAGCCCAGAGCUCAACUCUGGAAUGGCCUUUGAGACUAGAGAACUUGGGUACGGGAGAGGUGAGUGGAAUUCCGAGUGUAGAGGUGAAAUUCGUAGAUAUUCGGAAGAACACCAGUGGCGAAGGCGGCUCACUGGCCCGUUACCGACGCUCAGGCGCGACAGCGUGGGGAGCAAACAGG